CGGAGAGCAGGAGCUGCGUCCCAGGUCCUAGCAGCAGGGAGCUGCUUGGGGAGGGGGUGCAGGAGGAGGGGGCCAUGCCCGCUCCCCAAGAGCAUAGGGCUAACAGUUAUUUGCAUUUCUGUGCUCAGGAGCCACAGAUGUCAACACAAGGCACACAAGCCUCUAUUAGUCACUCUGGUUCACGGACGAUAGAUCCCAGGGUUGGCCAGAAGUACAGACACAUAAAAUCCUGCCUCGUGUUCCCCAGGUUGGUUCUCCCUGAGCGGGCUAAGCUUGGUACCUGACUGGGCUUUGGGGAGCCCCCAGCCCCCACGUCCUAGGGAUCUCUCAGCAGCGCUCCCAUGGCGGCACAUGUAGCUGUCAUUGGGCAGAGAGUGUGUCCGGCUGACACCAGACUUCCUCACAGUCAACAGGAUCCACUGCUUCCGACCAGCCACACCCUCUGGAGAUCCUCCUAGCCUUUGACCAAGACCCUGCCUCGGCUGGCCUGGGGCUGGCCUGGAUCUCACAACAGAAGGAACUGACCGACGAGAGGAGGGGGCUGCUCACUGUCAGAGGGGCAGAGGGAAACCGAGGGAGGGUAGUAAGGUCAAAGUAGCAAGAAGCCCCCAGACUUGUUGAGGACAGGAGACAAGGACACACAGGGACAGGAGACAGGGACAGUUCCCAGGGGGAAAAGGGCAUGGUGGUGGCAGCAGAGGUGUGGGUUUCACCCAGGAAACCAGUGAGUCUCAUGAGGGAGAGGCAGGAAGAGCAGGGCAGGGAAGGAGGGUUGGCUGGUACAGGGCUCCAAAGACAGAACCUGGCUCCCAAGCCACUUCUGUUUUGGGCUGUCGUUCCUGGAAUAACCCUGUCACCCGUGUAGCCCUGUGGGCUGGGUCUCAGUUUCAUCUUAUCUAAUUCCUUUAUUCCCCCCUGGUUGGUGGAGGGGAGGGACACAAGGAAGAAUUCAUGCCAGCAAAGGCUGGGGCACGUUGUGCCCACAUUUGAAUGCCUCUGGGUAGGACCUGGGCACAGAGUGGGAGGGAGUUCUGGAGCCCUGCAGCCAGCCUAGCCCAGGCUGGGGGAGCAGCAAGGGGUGUGUACAUGUACA